CUCCCAGUUUGCUGAGGUGAAAAUCAGACUGUCAGCCCUGUGAAUCCUUCAAAGCCAGCUUUCAGGCAGCCCCCAAGGCCUGAAAGUUCCACUCAGUAAGUUGCUCUUCUGCCUUAAAUCUGGAGGCAACACAGCGUGGUGGGAAGAACACUGAACUUGGAGUCAUUCAUUCAUCGAAUGCCUGCCAGGGCCCCAGUCUCCUACUUACUGGGUAGACCUGGGCUCUUGGACUUUCACUUCCCUGUAAGACAGGGUGACAAUACUUGCUCUGCCUACAUCAUACCACACCGUUGUGAAGACGAAAUGAAACACUGCUUUCGAAGGUACCUGGAACCAGGAAGCCCUACUGGAUGGCCUCUGAAAUUGCCUGUGGAUCCUAAUCUGGCUCUACAGCGUUCCCGUCCCCACUGCAGUCCCCACUC
rnacentral:lncRNA from 1 species